rnacentral:lncRNA from 1 species
AUGCUCCACAUUCCCAUUCAUAGACAGUUGAUCAUACAAACGAUUACACAUGCUCCACAUUCCAUUCAGACAGUUGAUAGACAAACGAUCACAUGCUCCACAUUCCAUUCAGACACAGUUGAUCACACAAACGUUACACAUGCUCCACAUUCCCAUUCAGAGACAGUUGAUCAUACAAACGAUUACACAUGCCCACAUUCCAUUCAGACAGUGGAUACAAACGAUUACACAUGCUCCACAUUCCCAUUCAGACAGUGUGAUGAUACAAACGAUUACACAUGCUCACAUCCCAUUCAGACAGUUGAUGAACAAACAAUUACACAUGCUCCACAUUCCCAUUCAGACAGUUGAUGAUACAAACGAUUAACCACUCCACAUUCAGACGCAGUUGAUGAUACAAUGAUUACACAUGCUCCACAUCCAUCAUAGACAGUUGAUGAUCAAAUGAUUACACAUGCUCCACAUUCCCAUUCAUAGACAGUUGAUGAUACAAAUGAUUACACAUGCCCACAUCCCAUUCAUAGACAGUUGAUGAUACAAAAUUACACAUGCUCCACAUUCCCAUUCAUAGACGUUGAUGAAUACAAAUGAUUACACAUGCUCACUCCAUUCAGACAGUUGAUGAACAAAUGAUUACACAUGCUCCACAUUCCAUCCAGACAGUUGAUGAUACAAAUGAUUACACAUGCUCCAACAUUCCCAUUCAGACAGUUGUAGAAUACAAAUGUUACACAUGCUCCACAUUCCCAUUCAUAGACAGUUGAUGAUACAAUGAUUACACAUGCUCACAUUCCCAUUCAACAGUUGAUAUACAUUAUUACACAUGCUCCACAUUCCCAUCAUGAGACAGUUGAUAGUACAAAUGAUUACACAUGCUCCACAUUCCAUUCAGACAGUUGUGAUACAAAGUAUACACAUGCUCCACAUCCCAUUCAUAACAGUUGAUGAUAC